GUGCCAGCCGCCGCGGUAAUACGGGGGGAGCAAGCGUUGUUCGGAUUUACUGGGCGUAAAGGGCGCGUAGGCGGUCAGCACAAGUCAAUUGUGAAAUCUCCGAGCUUAACUCGGAAAGGUCAACUGAAACUGUGCGACUAGAGUGCGGAAGGGGCAACUGGAAUUCUUGGUGUAGCGGUGAAAUGCGUAGAUAUCAAGAGGAACACCUGCGGCGAAGGCGGGUUGCUGGGCCGACACUGACGCUGAAGCGCGAAAGCCAGGGGAGCGAACGGGAUUAGAUACCCGCGUAGUCC
rnacentral:rRNA from 1 species